rnacentral:rRNA from 1 species
UCGAGAAUCUUUCACAAUGGGGGCAACCCUGAUGGAGCGACGCCGCGUGGAGGAUAAGGUCUUCGGAUUGUAAACUCCUGUCAUGCGAGAACAAGGUUGCAGGGAUAAUACCUUUGCAAAUUGAUGGUACCGCAAGAGGAAGAGACGGCUAACUCUGUGCCAGCAGCCGCGGUAAUACAGAGGUCUCAAGCGUUGUUCGGAAUCACUGGGCGUAAAGGGUGCGUAGGUGGCGUGGAAAGUCAGAUGUGAA